GCUAUAGCAUGACAAAGAUACCGAGCACAGUUACUGCUUUGAUUCAUUUCCUACAUGAAGUGUUUUAUGGAAUCCACAAGCUCACAGUGCCUUUAGUGUCUUUUCCUUUGAUGUCUGCACAAGCUAUCAAGAUAACACUGUCAACCACAAAGCAGUCUGAUGAAUGUCCGAUGAUACUAGUAACUAAUCAAAUUUUAAGUAUUGUCAGACCAGAAUCCCAUCUGGA